UACAGAGGUCUCAAGCGUUGUUCGGAUUCAUUGGGCGUAAAGGGUGCGUAGGCGGCGCGGUAAGUCGGGUGUGAAAUCUCGGAGCUUAACUCCGAAACUGCAUUCGAUACUGCCGUGCUUGAGGACUGGAGAGGAGACUGGAAUUUACGGUGUAGCGGUGAAAUGCGUAGAUAUUCGCAAGGACACCAGUGGCGAAGGCGGCUCACUGGCCCGGUACUGACGCUGAGGUGCGAAAGCGUGGGGAGCGAACAGG
rnacentral:rRNA from 1 species